CUGCUCAGUGCGGGACUCGAACCCAUGACAGAAGUGGAGUUGAAUGCGGAUGUCCACGGCGCAGUGACAGUGAUAAGGAACUGCAGUCUCGGGAUGUGCUCGUUUUGAGUCCGACGAGAUUCUGCAAAAUUCAGUCGCGGAGGACGAUCGUUAAACUGGCGUGAAUAAUUUCGCGAGUGGAGAACGUCUUCCUCCUAAAUACUAAGAGAAGAAUUCUGACUGCAGGAAAAUGGGAAGCACAGUGAUGGACUCCAAGAAAAAGGACUGUGCAAAGAAAUCCUCAAAGAAAAAGCGAGCUCUGCGACUAAACAUGCCAGAUUUGAGCACAUUCACAUCCUCCCUUAAGGACGGGGAGACUCACGGAGCAGAUAAAGAUGAAAUGCACAAGGGUGACAGAAGUGACUCGGCUAGCCCACGUUUGAAGCCUCCUUCCAGCCAACCCUUUACCCCAGCUUCAGCUCCCAUAUUAGCCAGGACCAGUCCAGGCACUCCUAAAACCAUCUUCCCAUAUCCACUAUCAUCUCACCAGAACUCACCUCCCAAAUCUCCCCGCCGUCUCAGUUUCAGUGGUAUCUUCCGCUCCUCGUCCAGCUCAGCCCCUGCCAGCAUCAAGCUCUUCUCCAAAUCUAGAAAAGGCUCUGGGCUUUCCACCCCCCCCACCACUCCGACCCAGAGUCCCGUUCCACCGGUCUUCCCUAUGGAGACCCCCAGUCCUGCGGAGCACGUGGAGGAACGACGCUCCCGCUCUCUCUCGUCUCCCCCUGACACAGGCCAGCGCUUCAGCCUGAGCACCUCCACCACCAAACCCCCUAUCGCCUCCUACACCUUUAACUCUACCUCACGCCAGAGCUGUGUACUUGCUGAAGGCAUGCUGGAAAAACUUGAACUUGACAAUGAAGCUGCUGAAGAGCCAGACAGUGACAUUUACAUGCACUUUAUGAAAUCCCACAAGUGCUAUGACCUGAUCCCCACCAGUUCCAAACUAGUGGUCUUUGACACUACAUUACAGGUAAAGAAAGCUUUCUUCGCCUUGGUUGCUAAUGGAGUUCGAGCUGCGCCAUUAUGGGAAACCAAAAAGCAAAGCUUUGUGGGAAUGUUAACCAUCACAGACUUCAUCAUCAUCCUGCACAGAUACUACAAAUCGCCGCUGGUGCAAAUAUAUGAGCUGGAGGAGCACAAGAUUGAGACUUGGAGAGAACUUUACUUGCAAGAAACGUUUAAACCCUUAGUCAACACAUCUCCAGAUGCAAGUAUAUUCGAUGCUGUUUACUCGCUCAUCAAAAAUAAGAUCCAUCGUUUGCCAGUGAUCGAUCCGGUCACAGGAAACGCCCUCUAUAUCCUCACACACAAGAGGAUCCUCAAGUUUCUGCAGCUCUUUGUGUGUGAGAUGCCUAAACCAGCCUUCAUGAGGCAGACUCUGGAGGAGCUGGGCAUUGGCACAUACAGCAACAUCGCUUUCAUUCACCCAGAUACACCCAUUAUUAAAGCACUGGGCAUGUUUGUGGAGAGGAGAGUGUCUGCGCUGCCGGUGGUGGAUGUUACAGGAAAGGUUGUAGACAUUUACUCCAAAUUUGAUGUCAUUAACCUGGCAGCUGAGAAGACCUACAAUAACCUGGACAUCACCGUGACUCAGGCUCUGCUGCAUCGCUCACAGUACUUCGAGGGCGUUAUGAAGUGUUAUCGACACGAGACCCUGGAUACUAUAGUGGACAGGAUCGUCAAAGCUGAGGUGCACAGGCUGGUAGUGGUGGAUGAUAACUCCAGCAUCGAGGGCAUCAUCUCUCUUUCUGAUAUCCUGCAGGCGCUGGUUCUCACCCCCGCAGGUAUAGACGCACAGAAUUCCUAAAUCAACCCUCCAUUUCACUUUCCUUCUCCCUCUCCACUCUUCCCCGGACCCAAUCUCCUGGACAUCUAUCACUCGAGUGUCCCUCUCUGACCCCCUGAGCACAGGAGGACGCAGAAGGGACAGUGUGACUGAAUGACAAGACAAUAUUUUGGAGAAACACAAAAAAUUCAGAGAACCGAAAAGGUCCAGCUGGCAUUCCUGACGGGAUACAGAGAAAAGGACAGCGGGAUUUUUUCUCGAUCCUCAUUUAAGGUCUGGGAUUUGUGGGGGGCUGAAUGAAACUGCAGUUUGAAUCUGCAGCUGAAGGAACGGACAUGUUGAUGGUGGGCCGGCUGUGAGAAUCUGCCGCUUUACUGUACACUGCUUUAGAUGCUGGGCAUGUUUGCCUGCUGGUGCUGCUGGUUUUAGAGGUGCUCACUGACAGCACUAAAUCAGGCACAGGGUGGAAGUCUUUUUUUGUGUUCUAGCUGGGUCUGCAUUAUAUCAUCAGGCACUGUAAUCCACUCUUGGUUGAGCGUCUGAAGUGGAAAUUUGCCUUAAAUGAAGCCCUCAGUGAGAGUUGAUUGUAGAGGUUAGCAGAGAUCCAAAGAUGUGCUUGUACUGCAAAAGCAGGCUCUUGAUUCUUCAGCAAUAAGUUGCUGUCGGUUCGAAGAACCUGCUUGACUCUGUAGACAUCUGCCCAUUUCUUUUCUCACUUUCUUGAAAAUACUUCCAAGUCGCAUUUCAUCCCAAAAUGAAAAGAAGAAAUAUAUAACGGAAAAUGGAACAUAAAGCAAAAUAAUGUGAUUUGUGAUUUCAUGACAAUUAAUCAUACUUCCCUGCAGUUUUUAUUAUUGCAAUACAACAUCUCAUUCUUAUAAUUUUUUAUUAUUAUUAUUAUUUAUAUAUUAUAGAAACAAUAAAACAUGUAUAUAUUAAAGUAUUUAUACUAUUACCUGUCAUUUAAAAUAACUACAUUAAUAAUUUAAUAUUACAUAGUUGUCAUGAAAAUAAUGUAGUAAUUAUUUUCAGAAGUGAUUCUCAUUAGUUGGUCAUUUGUUUUGUUUUUUUAAUUCUGCUUAAAUUACAGGUGAUAGAACAAAUACUAUAAUAUAUACAUGUCUUAUUAAUAAAUAAACAACUACAUUAAAUAAAGAGAAUGAUGUUUUGUAUUGCAAUAAUUAAAAUUGUGGGGAAAUAUGCUUGCUUACAUGAAAAUAAUCUAACAAGCACAAAACAAAAAUAAUAAAAAAAAAAAUAUGGGGUAAUAUAUAUAUGAUAUAGCCCGGACACAUUCUUGACAAGUUUAAUGAGAUUUAUCCGAAUAUUAUUAUUUUUCCCGUUAACACUGGACUAUUAGUCCAAAAUGUCUGCUGAAUAUGAAUAGUUUUUUCAUCCUAUUAGUUGUCAGUGGAAAAAUGAAUGUACUACCACACUGCAUACGCACUGACAGUCAUGGACUGUAUUUUUACUGGAACAAAGAAUGUUAUGAAAAGUGACUAUAUAUACAGAGCCUUAUUUUUCUAUUAUGACUGUCUGAAGUGUUUGGCUGCGUGGGAAAGUGUGUGCACUACCAUUAAAACAGCAUGAAUGUCAAAGCCUGCAGUUGCAAAAAUAGCCAUUGCAUCUUUGCACCCCAGUGAUAUGCUGAGCUACUGUAAAUACAACAUGCCAUGUAAUGGGUUCAAAACUGAUAAAUCAUGUAUUGUUUGAUUGCAUUUUUUUCAUUGCAACCACUGACGGUGAAAGUUAAGACCGUUAGGUCUGGAGAGAAAGAAAUGUACAUUUUUGUACACAGAAAUGACACUAUAUUUUAUUUUUUAUGUGGUUGAGCUAAAAUAUAUUGAUAAUGCAUUAA